rnacentral:rRNA from 1 species
UACGUAGGGCGCAAGCGUUGUCCGGAAUUAUUGGGCGUAAAGAGCUCGUAGGCGGUCUGUUACGUCCGCUGUGAAAACCCAAGGCUUAACCUUGGGCUUGCAGUGGAUACGGGCAGACUAGAGGCAGGUAGGGGAGAAUGGAAUUCCCGGUGUAGCGGUGAAAUGCGCAGAUAUCGGGAGGAACACCGGUGGCGAAGGCGGUUCUCUGGGCCUGACCUGACGCUGAGGAGCGAAAGCGUGGGGAGCGAACAGG